rnacentral:lncRNA from 1 species
CCGCCUUGAUACCCAGGAGGUCCACCUUGGUAGCCAGGAGCACCACCUUGCUGGUAGGGCGGAGCACCACCAGGGGUGUAUCCCCCCUGUGGGUAGCCAGGAGCGCCACCUUGCUGGUAGUUUGGCGGAGCACCACCUGCAUGAGGUGGUGGUGGUGGCGGAGGCAUGUUGCCCUGAGCAUGGUGCGGAGGGCCUUCACGUGGUGGCAUUUGGUUCUGGCCAGGUGGUGGAGGGCUGUUGUAACCCUGCCCAGGAGGCACAUCUCUGUUCUGGAAGUUCUGCAUGUUCUCCCUUCUCCUAUCAAAGGUCCUUGACCUGUCGAAAUUGCGGGGCCUAUCAUUGCGCCGAGAUCUUUCAUUGGCACGAGCAUUG